UGAGCUCAAGUGGACAACCUACCGUAGUGGAAGCACACGGUGCCUCGACCUCAUCUAGCACACCGGAGUACACGAUCAGAAGUGAAGACGACAUGGACGCUUACCUUAGUCGUCUCAUGAAUGAUAAUGUCAACCCUGACAGCCUCUUUGACGAUGAGUAUUACCUGUUUGCUGGUGAAGGCUCAGAUGCUGAUGACAUGGAGCACGACGAAUUGGAAGACUCAAGUCAAAAUACCUAUGUCGACCAUGAUCCAUUGGACUAUGUCUACUCAAAC